rnacentral:rRNA from 1 species
AUGCCGCCCGCCACCAUGGCGCCCGAGCAGGGGGUCCGCUCUAUGAUGAGCUCUGGCACGCCUGUGUCGGCCCUCUCAUCACCGUCCCAUGAGUCAGGGACCUCGUCUUCUACUUCCCGCAGGGCCACAUCGAGCAGGUCGGAUCUGUCGAGUUCUCCCGCUGCACCCUGGCACCGAGCCGCCAUUUGCUGCCGCCCGUGGUCACCAUCACUGGGAGGAGCGACGGCAGUCCAUGUCGUCAUUGCCAUCGUCCUUCAGCUGAAGAAAAUGUGCAAGGAGGGCGCAUAUUGGGGUGCUGUUGCUAGAGUGUAUGUAGGCAUGGAGUAUGGAGUGGAAAGGGUCCGCGGAGAGUAUGGCUGGAUGCGGCAGCUCAAGGGCGAGGUUGACAUCUUCUCCAGGGCCGAUGGGUCGGCGCUAUUCGAGAUGGGCAACACCAGGGUCAUCGCCGCCGUCUAUGGCCCCUGA